rnacentral:rRNA from 1 species
UCAUUAGAAAAGCCACGGCUAACUACGUGCCAGCAGCCGCGGUAAUACGUAGGUGGCAAGCGUUGUCCGGAAUUAUUGGGCGUAAAGCGCGCGCAGGCGGCCUUUUAAGUCUGAUGUGAAAGCCCCCGGCUCAACCGGGGAAGGUCAUUGGAAACUGAGAGGCUUGAGUACAGAAGAGGAAAGCGGAAUUCCACGUGUAGCGGUGAAAUGCGUAGAGAUGUGGAGGAACACCAGUGGCGAAGGCGGCUUUCUGGUCUGUAACUGACGCUGAGGCGCGAAAGCGUGGGGGAGCAAACAGGAUUAGAUACCCUGGUAGUCCACGCCGUAAACGAUGAGUGCUAAGUGUUAGGGGGUUUCCGC